CACGCAGGGCGGGGGUGCCGCAGGGCCACGCAGGGUGGCUCACCUCGGACAGCCUGGCAGGAGGACCUAGGAUCCCUUCUAGGAGCCCCACGAGGUACCUUGGGGCAGCAGCAGGGGUGGCCCGUUGGGUCCUCCCCAGAACUGACCGCUUCCCAGCAAGGACCCCCGGCUGCCCCCAGCCCCCUCUCCAGGCCUCUGAGGGUGGGGUGGCAGCCUGGCGCCAGGAGCUCCCGGCGGCAGGCCUUUCUUUCCCCUCCUCCAGGGCUGGGAAUAAUUAGGUGACCGGGGACAUAAAUCACGGCUGGCCCGGUACAUCUGCUGAUCACAUCUGCGGGCGCGUGUGAGCGUGAGCAGGAGCCUGGAGUGGGGUGCCCUGCAGGGGGACUGCACGCACCCCACCCGCCGCGCUUCCAGAGAACAGGACGGUGGUGUGUGAUCCCAGGUCCCCGGCCACCCCUGCCCCCAGACACACGGGCGCAUCGCCCAAGACCCACACACAGGUGGACGCCCAGAUGGGCACACAGGCCCGUCCCUCACCCAGCCCCUGGGGAGGCAGGGAACCUGCAGGCUGGGGUUUGGUGCCACCUAGAGCCCACGUCCUGGAACUGCCCGCAUGGACCAGGAGGCCCUGCUGCCCGGCCCUGUCUCCCUCGGCCAGGCCACUUUGACCUGGUGAAGGCCCCUGGUCUGCAGGACUCUGGCUCACACUGGAGAAGGCACAAGGUCAACCGGCAGCAAGGUCAAGGUUCAGGGUGUAAUGUGACGCUUUCAAAUCAGGGUCAGCGCGUCCCCACACCAAUAAGCCCAACCCGAGGGGCGACUGCGCCAGGAAGCUCCUUCUCACCUCGCUGCAGGGGGAGAUCACACAAGGAGGCCGACAACGGAAAGGGCAGCAGUGGGUGUGCUGCGCAGACCUCACCACCCACGGUCAGCAAAGCGUGCCGGCCCUGGACGGUCAGCGCUGGCCUGGCUGCACCUUGAACCUGAGGCUCUUCUCGAGGCCCGGCCCCUCCGCAGCACACUCGGCUGUCCCCUCCGGCUCCGGGCAGUGCGCUGGGUCUUGGAAGCUCUGUGCUGCCCGGGCUGGACGCCACCCUCCUUACGACCUCCUUGCAGCAGACACGGCCAGCAUGACCCUGCUUCUCACCUCCUCCCCAGCUAGAGACGCCCGCCACCUGACUGAGGAAGCAGCCCUGCCCAGCCGCCCCCACGCUGGUCUGUGUGCCAGCAGCGGACAGUCCCUGGCCCCAGAACAUCUCUCGUUAAACCAAACACAGAACACAUUGCCGGACACGGUGGUACCCGACUGUGGGCCCAGCUACCUGGGAGGCUGGGGCAGGAGGAUGGCAGGGUGGAGGCCAGCCUGGGCAACUUAGUGAAACCCGGUCACAAGACUAAAAAUGAAAGGGCUGGGACGUGGCUCAGCGGCAGAGCACCCCCAGGCUCCGUCCCUGGUACCAGAAAAGAAAUUAAAUGCCAGGAGACACGAUUCUAAAACCA